rnacentral:rRNA from 1 species
GACGAACGCUGGCGGCGUUCCUAAUACAUGCAAGUCGAACGCAGUGGGGACGGGUGUGUAACACGUGGGUAACCUCCCAUCAGAGGGGAUAACACUUGGAAACAGGUGCUAAACCGAUACUGAUGGAUGGACCCGCGGUGCAUUAGCUAGUUGGUGAGGUAACGGCUCACCAAGGCCACGAUGCAUAGGCGGCCUGAGAGUGUGAUCGGCCACACCGGGACGGAGGGGAGGGCCAGGCUCCUGAGGGGGGACAGGAUAGGGACGCUUAGGCAAUGGACGAAAGUCUGACAGAGCAAAGGCGCGUGAGUGAAGAAGGUUUUCGGAUCGUAAAACUCUGUUGUUAGGGAAGCGGUAUCUAACAAGAAAGACACGGAUGACUACGUGCCAGCAGCCGCGGUAGUUC